rnacentral:rRNA from 1 species
UACGUAGGGUGCAAGCGUUAAUCGGAAUUACUGGGCGUAAAGCGCGCGCAGGCGGUCCUUUAAGUCUGAUGCGAAAGCCCACGGCUCAACCGUGGAGGGUCAUUGGAAACUGGAGGACUUGAGUACAGAAGAGGAAAGCGGAAUUCCACGUGUAGCGGUGAAAUGCGUAGAGAUGUGGAGGAACACCAGUGGCGAAGGCGGCUUUCUGGUCUGUAACUGACGCUGAGGCGCGAAAGCGUGGGGAGCAAACAGG